ACUUUUCUGAAUUUCCACCCAGUUCGCUUCUAUUAGUACAACGUAUACAACCGGUGAUUAACAUUCUACUACGAUCGGAAGUAGAGUCAAUUCGAAUGCACGCCUGCAGGAUAAUUGUAUCUCUAUGGAACACCGAACCAUCCCUGACGUUGAACGAGUUAAUGAGAAACGGAGUGGAUACUUUUCUAGAAGAAAUGUUCGCUGUCGAUGGAGUUAUUAGUGUUUUGAUUAAUGUUUUUCUCAGGAAAACAUCCAGAUUAUCGUUUCCUCCGUGAUGAAAGAUCGUUGUUUGUCGAAUACGAUGCCUCAUUAAUUCUAGGGAAAAUACGUAGCUUCGUAGGUAAUUUUUUUUUUUUUUAAAAA